rnacentral:rRNA from 1 species
UACUUAGCGGCGGACGGGUGAGUAACGCGUGGGUAACCUGCCUUACACUGGGGGAUAACAGUUAGAAAUGACUGCUAAUACCGCAUAAGCGCACAGGGCCGCAUGGUCUGGUGUGAAAAACUCCGGUGGUGUAAGGUGGACCCGCGUCUGAUUAGGUAGUUGGUGGGGUAACGGCCCACCAAGCCGACGAUCAGUAGCCGACCUGAGAGGGUGACCGGCCACAUUGGGACUGAGACACGGCCCAA